rnacentral:tRNA from 1 species
GUGGGUGUAGCUCAGUUGGUAGAGCCCUGGAUUGUGAUUCCAGUGGUCGCGAGUUCAAGCCUCGUCACCCACCCCA